AAGGGCACCACAAGAACGCGUGGAGCAUGUGGCUUAAUUUGACUCAACGCGGGAAAUCUUACCGGGUCCGGACACACUGAGGAUUGACAGACAUAUAUUAAUUUAAUUUAAUUAAUAUUAAAGAUGCUAGUUCUUUCAUGAUUAUGUGAUAGGUGGUGCAUGGCCGUUCUUAGUUCGUGGAGUGAUCUGUCUGCUUAAUUGCGUUUCAUAUUAAAUAUGAAUACUUUACUAUUAUACUAUUUAACUUCGGUUAAUAUGUUAAUUACUAUAUUCUAAGAAAGCAACGAACGUGACCGUAUCCUUUUAUUAACUGUGAUCCUAUACACAGUAUUAAAAAUUAAAGGGACCGCUGUUUCCAACUUAAACCAGAGGAAGGUUAUGGCAAUAACAGGUCUGUGAUGCCCUUAGAUGUUCCGGGCUGCACACGUGCUACAAUGAUUAUUUCAUUAAGUUAAUUAUUAAUUAAAUUCCUAUACCGCGAGGUACUAUGGUAACCAAUUACAAGUAAUGAUUUCAAGCUCUAUACUCCUAUUACUAUUAUUAUUAUACCCUUCUUAAUUUAAUAUUAAGUUGUGAGUAUUUUAAUUAAUUUAAGUAUGUAUUAAUGUUAAUUCAUGGUGGGGACAGUCCAUUGUUAAUUGUUGGUCUCGGUUUUAACUAGGAAUGCCUUGUACUGGUCUUUGGUUCAACAAACCACCAGGAAUACGUCCCUGCCCUUUGUACACACCGCCCGUCGCUCUUACCGAUGAACUCUGCUAUGAGUUUGAAGGAUGAUUAAUAAUUAAAAUUUAUACGAAUAGUUUGGUUUAAAGGAAAGAGAAGUCGAACAAGGCA
rnacentral:rRNA from 1 species